GACGAACGCUGGCGGCGUGCUUAACACAUGCAAGUCGAACGGAAAGGCCCUGCUUUUGUGGGGUGCUCGAGUGGCGAACGGGUGAGUAACACGUGAGUAACCUGCCCUUGACUUUGGGAUAACUUCAGGAAACUGGGGCUAAUACCGGAUAGGAGCUCCUGCUGCAUGGUGGGGGUUGGAAAGUUUCGGCGGUUGGGGAUGGACUCGCGGCUUAUCAGCUUGUUGGUGGGGUAGUGGCUUACCAAGGCUUUGACGGGUAGCCGGCCUGAGAGGGUGACCGGCCACAUUGGGAGUGAGAUACGGCCCAGACCCCUACGGGGGGGAGCAGUGGGGAAUAGUGCACAAUGGGCGGAAGCCUGAUGGAGCAACGCCGCGUGCGGGAUGACGGCCUUCGGGUUGUAAACCGCUUUCGCGUGUGACGAAGCGUGAGUGACGGUAAUGGGUAAAGAAGCACCGGCUAACUACGU
rnacentral:rRNA from 1 species